AGGCUCCACCCUGAAUUUCCUUGGGGACCAAGAUGUCACCAAGGUCGUGCCAAGCUCUCCCGGCUCCCCUGGGGAAGCCUUGCUGAUUGUUUUUGGCCUCCUCUGAGAUUUUUAGAUCACAGAAGAAAAGUUCCAACUCCUCAUCCUUUCCCUCCGCCUCAGGCCCUGAGAUCUGAUCUCUCCCUUAAACAAAGCCCCUCGUUCAUGUCAGCUUAGGAAACACAAUGUUCUGAAAGCAGAUCCCUGGGGCCCAGCAAGGGAGCUGCGUUUUUGGGUUUCUGCCUUCUCAAACGCCAGCUUUUGAUUUGGCCCCUCCUGCCCCACCUCCAAACUCUUUCAUGACGGAAAUUAAAUUCUUCUGAACUUUAAGACCCCUCUUCAGUGCUGCUCCCAGGGGGACUGAAGCCACCACAGGCUAGUAACUCUACCCAGCAAGGUGAAGAUCUGCUCUGGCUUGAGAUGCACAGCUUCAUCCUGACACUUGAAAAACAAGUCAAUGAGAACAUGGGACAUGGAGCCAGACGUAUCCAGGUUCAAGUCCCAGCUCCGAUGAGAAACUGAGGCUUGGGCGUUGCCCAGUGAGUGAAUACCCGCGCUCCCACUUGACCUCAGGCCUCUUCUUCCUUGGCCCUCGCACUUUCCAAAGAACCCUCAGCCUGAAGCGUGGGUCUCAGUUUCUUCCUCUGUGUAAUGGGGGUUGCAGGGUGGUAGGAAGAUUCGAGAUUAGGAUGCAAGGUGCCUGGCCUGAGUAAGUGUCAUCUGGCUGAGCAGAUGUCAAUGCAACCCCUUGGCCUUGCCACUUCCUUGCUGGUGACCUCUGAGCCCCAGUGUCCUGGUCUAUAAAAUGGGGAUGAGGACAGUAGCCUGUGAUAGGGCAUUCAUGAGCUUUAUAUGAGAAAAGUAGGUGGAGUGUCAGGCAGGGCGGAGGCCUGAGGACAUGCGCUGAGGCCCAGAGGGGCAGAGCAGCUCAUCCACGAGUGUUGCUCAUCCAGGGCUUGGGCAUGGCAGCCUUUUGUUGUUGGAGUGUUGAGGGCUGGAGGGCUGGAUGUGACAGCACCUAGCACCGGUGGCUGGCAAGGGUGGGGCCUCAGUAGGAGAAUCCUUCCUUCUCCACCUUUUCCCUCACACGUUGUGAUGGAAUAUCUGUCAGGUGUGCAGUCAGAACUCAAUGCAUACCUGGUCCAAGAGCACUUACAAGAGCAGGCGGGCAGGUGCUGGGCCUGGAACUGAGAGACGGGCUGGACUGUGAGUGGGAGUUGGAAGAGCACUCCAGCGGGGCCCCGGUUGUGGGAAAAGGCCGAGAGGCUGCAGCGAUCCUGGGAGCCAGGGCUCUGUGAAGAGGCUGCUAGCAGGAGCAGAGCUCUGCUUCUGUUGGGUGAGGAGGGGCUGUCUCUGGGCUCCUGGCGACCUCCUCCUCUUGUCCCCGAGCCUCCCGUUACAGGCCCUUUGAGAGCCCAGCUGUAGACUCCCCAUGGCUCUGAGGAGCGGGGUGGUUGGGCCCAGUUCCCCUCAGAGAAGCAGUCUGAGGGGUGGGCAGAGUGAGUCCGUGGCAAGGCAUGGGCAGGGAGGGUCUCCUAACGAGGUCCUCAGGCCUUGCUGAGCUGGGCACGGGCGAGCAGGAACCAUCCAUCGUCGGCAAAGGUAAUUGUUUGGGGAGCCAGUAGGACCCAGCCAGGUGUGUGCCUUCUGGGCUCCAUGAGAACAAACACUCCCUUUCAGGCCAUGUAUCAAAUUUACCCACACCGCCCAUAUUUUCCCCCUUUUGUUUCAGGCAAGGAAAAUUUCUUCUAAUGAAGAUGAAUGCAAAGUGAUCAACGUCUUGGCAAACAUCAACAGUCAGAAUACAGGAUUCAUUCAGGGAUGUGAAAAGCCUGGGUGGUGAUGAGUUUGGAGAUACGUUUUAGAGAAUGCUAAGUGUCCAAGCCUUCAAAGUUACACUGUGGAUUCGAGGACACAGCCUGCGCCCUGUCUGCUGAAGCUCCAGCUUCAGUUUCUAGAGCAGCAGUAACUGUUUCACCCACCAUUCCCUGAGCACCUACUGUGUGCCAGGCACCUCACCUCAUCCUAGUGUGGAAGGUGAAAUUGUUAUUCUGUCUGAAGAGGAGACUGAGGCUCAGGGAGGUUAAGCCAGUUGCCCGGAUAGGGGUCCGAGGUGGGAUUUGAACACUUCCGCCUGCUCAAGAGCUCACCGUCAGCACCGGCACUGAAGUCCACUGGCUAAGAGGCCAGUCUCCUUAGGCUGCCCGCUUCAAAUCUCAGCUCUACCAUUUUCCAGCUGGGUGGCCCUGAGAAUCUUGUUUCAUCUCUCUGUGUGUCUGACUGGGUAAUAAAAGUACCCACCUCCAAGAGCUGCUGGAAGAUUCAAUCAGACAAUUCGUGCAAAAGCUGUAAUGCACCUGAGCUGUUAUCAGUAAUAUAUAUGUAGUUUUAGUAUCAGGGUCUUAAUAUCUUUUUUUAGUAUCAGUCUCUCUAAGGGUAGAAUUAAGAUCAUGGCCUGAGGUGUUGAGCUUGUGUAGGAACAUUCUAUGGAAACUUGUGGGGCUUGUCCCCUUCCUUGGGGAGAGACACUGGUUGCUGAGUGGGGCUGAGGAUGGAGUGCCCAGACAGCUGCGGUCUCUGAAUCUUUAGCUGAGGCCUGAGGCCUGUAGGAGUUGCUUUUCCUAGACCCACUGCUGCCCCAGGACCUGCGACCUCGCUGAAAAAUGCAAGGACUUAAAACAAGGCUCUAUCCGGGACAUGUGCCUGCACUCAUCUCUUUAGUAUCAACACAUGCUCAAUUGGCAGCUUCUGGAAUGUUCCAAACAGAGACAUUGUUUCCAUAUAUUGAAAAUACCUUCAUUUGAUCCUUGCAAAAAUCCUGAUAGUGGAAGGGCACCCACUUUGCAGAUUAAAAAGUGCCGAGUCCAAGGGAAGUUCACAAG